CGGCGGACGGGUGAGUAAUGUAUGGGGAGUCUGCCCGAUAGAGGGGGAGUAACUACUGGAAACGGUGGCUAAUACCGCAUAAUGUCUACGGACCAAAGCAGGGGCUCUUCGGACCUUGCACUAUCGGAUGAACCCUUAUGGGAUUAGCUAGUAGGUGGGGUAACGGCUCACCUAGGCGACGAUCCCUAGCUGGUCUGAGAGGAUGACCAGCCACACUGGAACUGAGACACGGUCCAGACUCCUACGGGAGGCAGCAUG
rnacentral:rRNA from 1 species